rnacentral:rRNA from 1 species
AGAGUUUGAUCCUGGCUCAGAGCGAACGCUGGCGGCAGGCCUAACACAUGCAAGUCGAGCGGUCGUAGCAAUACGGCAGCGGCAGACGGGAGAGUAACACGUGGGAACGCGCCCUUCGGUUCGGAAUAACUCAGGGAAACUUGGGCUAAUACCGGAUACGCCCUUACGGGGAAAGAUUUAUUGCCGAAGGAACGGCCCGCGUCCGAUUAGCUUGUUGGUGAGGUAAUGGCUCACCAAGGCGACGAUCGGUAGCUGGUCUGAGAGGAUGACCAGCCUCACUGGGACUGAGACACGGCCCAGACUCCUACGGGAGGCAGCAGUGGGGAAUAUUGGACAAUGGGCGCAAGCCUGAUCCAGCCAUGCCGCGUGGGUGAUGAAGGCCCUAGGGUUGUAAAGCCCUUUCGGCGGGGAAGAUAAUGACGGUACCCGCAGAAGAAGCCCCGGCUAACUUCGUGCCAGCAGCCGCGGUAAUAC